rnacentral:rRNA from 1 species
GACGAACGCUGGCGGCGUGCCUAAUACAUGCAAGUUGAGCGCUGAAGGUUGGUACUUGUACCAACUGGAUGAGCAGCGAACGGGUGAGUAACGCGUGGGGAAUCUGCCUUUGAGCGGGGGACAACAUUUGGAAACGAAUGCUAAUACCGCAUAAAAACUUUAAACACAAGUUUUAAGUUUGAAAGAUGCAAUUGCAUCACUCAAAGAUGAUCCCGCGUGGUAUUAGCUAGUUGGUGAGGUAAAGGCUCACCAAGGCGAUGAUACAUAGCCGACCUGAGAGGGUGAUCGGCCACAUUGGGACUGAGACACGGCCCAAACUCCUACGGGAGGCAGCAGUAGGGAAUCUUCGGCAAUGGAAGAAAGUCUGACCGAGCAACGCCGCGUGAGUGAAGAAGGUUUUCGGAUCGUAAAACUCUGUUGGUAGAGAAGAACGUUGGUGAGAGUGGAAAGCUCAUCAAGUGACGGUAACUACCCAGAAAGGGACGGCUAACUACGUG